rnacentral:rRNA from 1 species
UACGUAGGGUGCGAGCGUUAUCCGGAAUUAUUGGGCGUAAAGCGCGUGUAGGCGGCCCGGUAAGUCCGCUGUGAAAGUCGGGGGCUCAACCCUCGAAUGCCGGUGGAUACUGUCGGGCUAGAGUGCGGGAGAGGCGAGUGGAAUUCCUGGUGUAGCGGUGAAAUGCGCAGAUAUCAGGAGGAACACCAAUUGCGAAGGCAGCUCGCUGGAACGUAACUGACGCUGAGACGCGAAAGCGUGGGGAGCAAACAGG